UACGAAGGACCCGAGCGUUAUCCGGAUUUAUUGGGUUUAAAGGGUGCGUAGGCGGAUUUACAAGUCAGUGGUGAAAUCUCCCCGCUCAACGGGGAAACUGCCAUUGAAACUGUUUAUCUUGAGUACAUUUGAGGCGGGCGGAAUGUGUCAUGUAGAGGUGAAAUUCUUAGAUAUGACACAGAACACCAAUUGCGAAGGCAGCUCGCUAAACUGUAACUGACGCUGAGGCACGAAAGCGUGGGGAUCAAACAGG
rnacentral:rRNA from 1 species